ensembl:lincRNA
UUCCUGUAUUCCCUCUAUUCCACAAGCAAGAGAUAACUGGUUUGCAUCAUUUUCUUUUUUUAAUCACAGGCCUUGUGCUACUGAACGCUCUCCCUGCCUUGCAAUUCACCCCUUUCUGCUCCUUUCAACUGUAAACAUUUGAGAGCAGAAAUCUUGUGACUUUUUAAAUGUUGGAUUUUCAACACUUAGCACAUCGCUGGCACGGAAUAUGAACUUGCUGUAUCUUCUUCUUAUAAAUGAAUAAACAAAAUGCAUAGGCAUGUGAGGCAUUUAGCAAACACAGGCCAAGUCGAACCUUUGAUACAUGACUUGAAAUUACUUCCUUUUCAAGGUAUUUGUUCAGGGAGCUUAAUUACAGAGUCCACAAUCCAACAAAGUCUUCAUUGUGGGAGAAACUGGAAAAGAGCCUUUGGUUUUUCAAGACAGUGUGAAUUUAAAUGACAACCCCUUUUUAGCAUGUGCAUAUUUCAACUGCAGGGACAACUCAGAACUUGAGAUGAAAAAGCAGAGGGCGGUAAUGUUUCUCUGCGCCCUAGCCUGACCACGUCUCGUAUCCUCUCUCCUCAGUGCAUGGGGCGGCGAUGGGAAAAGGAGAAAGUGCGGUAGGAAGAGGGGAGGUGGGCCCCCGCGGCAGGAGGGGUAGGAGGCGGCCCCGGGGCCCAGGCCGAGGAGCCAGGGCACUGGACAAUCGUGCCCUAGUUGGAGCAGAGGACCCGGGGACAGGAGAAAACACAGCCAGGAACAAAAAGCCAGUUCCUCCCCAUUUUCUCCAGGCUCCGAAGCUGCUCUGCAGUCCCAGCUUCCUCCUGCGCCAUGCCCGAGGCUCACCGCGCCAGAAGAUCCAGGGUGGGACCCAGAAACCUGCACUUUUCCCAAGGGUCCCGAGACUUCCACUGAUACGUGAGCACCAGGAUUAGAGAUAGACGUCGGAAAAGCAUGACCUCGACACUGGGGACACUAUGAAAUAAAUCAUUUCAGUCACAAAUUCAGUCCUUUUCUAAAGGUGCUCACACUGAUUUCUGAUGUUCUUAGAGUGACAGAACACUUGUUAGCAUUAUAUUUUCUAUAAAUCAAAUAAACAGAAAUCAAACGGAAACACUUCUCCCCGGAGUUUGAUUAUUGUCCUCUUUGCUUCCUCUUGCUUUCCCUUCCAGUCAUCGUUUGUCCUCAUUUUUUUCUUUAGUGUUUUUGUUUUUAAUCCUUCUUUUAGGGCUCUGUUUCAUUUACCCCCUAAGAAGUAGUACGUUUUUAGAUCAACUGGUUGCCAUGUUUUUCUUCUUCGUGAGAAUCUCACCUUCCUGCGUGUUCUGGCUUCUUUUUGAUCCUGUCAUUCGUUAAUAAACCAAGGGGUUCUUGUUUAUGUGGCUUCAUGUCCACAUGUUUACUGGUUUCUAUUGGGCUGGGUAGGAUAGUAACCAUUACCCUGUUCUCUAGGAGUAAACUGCUUCCCUAGGAAUUCUGUUUAAAGUUCAGGAAUUUCUAUUUUACUUUAUGCAUUGGAUUGGGCUGAAUAUACCACAGUGCUGUAAUACCAAGAUACACAAUUUAUUUUUCAAGAAUACGUUAUCACCCUAGAAUUCGGUGUGCUAGCAUCCCUUUAAUCAAUUGUAAUUUAUUCAACUUGGUUUUUAUUACAAAUCAGGGAAAACAUUCUCUAAAAUGCCAC